rnacentral:rRNA from 1 species
AAGUACUGCCGGAGAUAAAGCGGGAGAAGGAACGGGCAAAAAGAUGUCAGAUUACACAGAAUAAAAUGAACUACAAGCUGCUUACAAUGUACGACACAUCUAUCUCGAAUGUCAACGCUAAUCUCCUAAACUCUUUCCGUUUUUCUCAUUGAGGUCUGAAACUCGCCCUCAUGAAGCUGGAUUACGGUAGUAAUGGCAAAUCAAUAGAGU